GACCUUGAAAAACGCCGCGUUUCACGCCAUAUACGGAAUGUCUCGCAAGGGACUAUGGACAUAAACGCGCUCGUAAUAAGCGGAUCGGACCCGGGGGCGGUACCCGGCGACUCCACCAAACAUCCGGUGUUGGCGGAUCAUGGGGUCGAAAUAGGAUCGACGGACGUCUAAAGGGGUUGCUUUGUCUCGGUGAGCUACCACCGAUAUCGGUGCAGAAAAGUACAAUUGCCAACAACAAUCGUGCUCCGGUUGCUCUGGCUGCGUAAGCAGUUCGAGGAAUCGAAAUCUAAGUCCUUGCGCCUAGCAGCGUAAGGCGGGGUUCGCAGGCACCUGGCAACAGAAGCCUGCACU
rnacentral:tmRNA from 1 species